UACGUAGGGGGCAAGCGUUGUCCGGAAUUAUUGGGCGUAAAGCGCGCGCAGGCGGCUUGUUAAGUCUGGUGUAUAAGUGCGGGGCUCAACCCCGUGAGGCACUGGAAACUGGCAGGCUUGAGUGCAGAAGAGGAGAGUGGAAUUCCACGUGUAGCGGUGAAAUGCGUAGAUAUGUGGAGGAACACCAGUGGCGAAGGCGACUCUCUGGGCUGUAACUGACGCUGAGGCGCGAAAGCGUGGGGAGCAAACA
rnacentral:rRNA from 1 species